UCCGGUUUGUCACCGGCAGUCUCAUUAGAGUGCCCAACUGAAUGUAGCAACUAAUGACAAGGGUUGCGCUCGUUGCGGGACUUAACCCAACACCUCACGGCACGAGCUGACGACAGCCAUGCAGCUUCUGUGCACGAGUCCCGAAGGAGGACCCCAUCUCUGGGGCUUUCUCGUGUAUGUCAAGCCCUGGUAAGGUUCUUCGCGUUGCGUCGAAUUAAACCACAUGCUCCACCGCUUGUGCGGGCCCCCGUCGAUUCCUUUGAGUUUCAGCCUUGCGGCCGUACUCCCCAGGCGGGGCACUUAAUGCGUUAGCGCCGGCACCCAGGGGGUCGCUCCCCCAGGCACCUAGUGCCCAUCGUUUACGGCGUGGACUAC
rnacentral:misc_RNA from 1 species